GUCCCUAGCUCAGCUGGGAGAGCACCUCCCUUACAAGGAGGGGGUCGGCGGUUCGAUCCCGUCAUCACCCACCA
rnacentral:tRNA from 1 species